rnacentral:rRNA from 1 species
AACGAACGCUGGCGGCAUGCCUAACACAUGCAAGUCGAACGAGACCUUCGGGUCUAGUGGCGCACGGGUGCGUAACGCGUGGGAACCUGCCCUUAGGUUCGGAAUAACUCCCCGAAAGGGGUGCUAAUACCGGAUAAUGUCUUCGGACCAAAGAUUUAUCGCCUUUGGUUGGGCCCGCGUUGGAUUAGCUAGUUGGUAGGGUAAAAGCCUACCAAGGCGACGAUCCAUAGCUGGUCUGAGAGGAUGAUCAGCCACACUGGGACUGAGACACGGCCCAGACUCCUACGGGAGGCAGCAGUGGGGAAUAUUGGACAAUGGGCGAAAGCCUGAUCCAGCAAUGCCGCGUGAGUGAUGAAGGCCUUAGGGUUGUAAAGCUCUUUUACCCGGGAUGAUAAUGACAGUACCGGGAGAAUAAGCGCCGGCUAACUCCGUG